UACCCAGUGGCGGACGGGUGAGUAACACGUGGGAAUCUGCCUUUAGAUGGGGGAUAGCAGGCCGAAAGGCCUAUUAAUACCGCAUAUGCCGCAAGGUAAAAGGAGCAAUCCGUCUGAAGAUGAGCCCGCGCCCGAUUAGCUAGUUGGUAAGGUAAAAGCUUACCAAGGCAACGAUCGGUAGCUGGUCUGAGAGGGCACACGGCCACACUGGCACUGAAACACGGGCCAG
rnacentral:rRNA from 1 species